rnacentral:sRNA from 1 species
AACCAGAUAAUUAUAAUUAAGAAAUAUGAUUUAUGUAAAAAUUUAUAAACGCAGAAGCGAGAUGGGAGUUCCGGUUGAUGAAAGUCUAUUUUUAUCGAUGCUUGUAAAGAUCAUCAACGCGAAAAACACUAUCGAGAUCGGUGUGUUCACCGGUUACUCACUUUUCACCGUAGCUCUUGCUUUGCCUGAAGAUGGCCGUGUAAUGAUUCUUCUUCUUGCUAUCAUACC